rnacentral:pre_miRNA from 1 species
AAUCUACUCCCUCCGUUCCAAAUUACUCGUCACAGAAAUGGAUGUAUCUAGAAAUAAAAUACAUCUAGAUACAUCCAUACCUACGACAAGUAAUUUGAAACGGAGGGAGUAUUAA